GGGGAUGCUUGGUUUCGACUGGGGUGGAAAGCUUUAGUUUGCAGCCAGACAUUGAGGAGAUGUCUUUAAAGAGCCUCAAACACUAUAAAUGCCAACUCAAACGUUGCAUUCGCUCUUGCAGCCUGACGGCUGUUGAGCCGGGUCAGUAGCUACCUUGGAACAGAAAGCUACUCAUGUUUGGCCCGGCAGGGAUAAAUGCACGUAGUACCUGCUUGACACAUGGCUGUGUAUAGACUACUGUUUGAAGCAUCAGGACGCGGGUUCGACUCCCGCCAUCUCCAC
rnacentral:tmRNA from 1 species